UACAGAGAGUGCAAACGUUGUUCGGAAUCACUGGGCUUAAAGCGCACGUAGGCGGCACUGUAAGUGUCGGGUGAAAUCCCACGGCUCACCCGUGGAACUGCCCGGCAGACUGUGGUGCUCGAGUGUGGUAGGGGAGAGCGGAACUCCUGGUGGAGCGGUGAAAUGCGUAGAUAUCAGGAGGAACACCGGUGGCGAAGGCGGCUCUCUGGUCCACAACUGACGCUGAGGUGCGAAAGCUAGGGGAGCAAACGGG
rnacentral:rRNA from 1 species